rnacentral:rRNA from 1 species
UAACAGGAAAUUUAAGGGCGUACGGUGGAUGCCUAGACUUUAAGAAGCGAUGAAGGACGUGGCGUUGCUGCGAUAAGCUUCGGGGAGGUGCUUAGCAACCUUUGAUCCGGAGAUUUCCGAAUGGGGAAACCCUAUUGAGUAAACCUCAAUAAUCUUUAUCUUUAUGAUAAAGGAGCAUACCUUGGGAAGUGAAACAUCUCAGUACCAAGAGGAAUAGAGACAAAUAUGUAUUUCCUUAGUAGCGGCGAGCGAAAAGGAAGAAGCCCAAACCGUUUUGUCGAAGACAAAACUACGGAUCAACUCUGAUUUAGACUGAUCAACUCUGAUAUUUUUAUCGGUGUUGAUCUGAUUUUUAUCAGUGAAUAUCAGUAGUUUCGCCUUCGGCGAAACGGGGUUGUAAGAUGACAAUUUUUAUUUAAUUAAAGGAGAGUCAAAAAAUAAAUUAUUAACUGAAGUUGCUGGAAAGCGACACCAUAGAGGGUGAUAGUCCUGUAAGUGAAAAUAAUUUAUCUCUUUUAUUGUUAUUCUUGAGUACCCCAGGACACAAAUGGCCGGGGGGAAUCCAGCGGAACUAACCGCUAAGGCUAAAUAUUCUUAAAGAUCGAUAGUGAACUAGUACCGUGAGGGAAAGGUGAAAAGCAGCCCGAUUAGGGCGGUGAAAUAGACCUGAACCCGUAUGUCUACAAGGAGUCGAUGCGGAUCGCACAGUGUGUGAGGAAAUUUUAUAUUGAAUAGUGGAGAUGGGCAACUUGUUGUUCGUACCUACUGGGGAAACCUAGACAGAGCAACAAGACUGCCUAACCGUUUGGUUGGCGGAACAACACAAACUUAUUAGUUAGACUGAGUCGUCAUACGACGAUAUGGGACGUCAUAAGUAUGUGCCGUGCAACUUCAAGUGGAGUAGCUCAUCCCACUAUUGUGGGUUCACGCUGAAGGAAUUCAGCUGGACCCACUCUACUAUUCAGUAUAAAAUUUACACAUAGUGUGCGGUCCGCUACGGCGUGCCUAUUGAAGAAUGAGCCAACGAGUUUAUUCAUUUUGCUGGCAAAGCUGGCUAAAACAGCAGAGCCGUAGGGAAACCGAGUGUUAAUAGCGCGAAAUAAUAGUAAAAUGCAUAAGACCCGAAACUAGGUGAGCUUGCCAUGAGCAGGUUGAAGUAGGUCGAAAGACUUAUGGAGGACCGAACCGGUAGAUCGUACAACGUCUUCGGAUGACUUGUGGUAAGGAGUGAAAAGCUAAUCGAACCUAGUAAUAGCUGGUUCUCUCCGAAAUAGCUUUAGGGCUAGCGUCGUGUGUUUCUUUUGGGGGUAGAGCACUGGAAGGUUCGGACAGGUCGCAAGAUCGCUGAACCUAUCAAACUCCGAAUACUAGAAGUAAGAACACGGCAGUUAGGCUAUGGGGGCGAAGCUCCAUUAGCCAAAAGGGAAACAGCCCAGAUCUCAAUAUAAGGUCCCUAAAUUCAUGCUAAGUGUAAGACAAGAAGGUGAGAUUUCUUAAACAAUGAGGAGGUUGGCUUAGAAGCAGCCAUCCUUUAAAGAUAGCGUAACAGCUCACUCAUCUAGAGAUUUUGCGUCGAAAAUAAUUGGGGCUAAG